UCUGCCAUGGCCUUCCAUUAUUGCUCUGUAAAAGCUCUUUACAAGCAGAAAGAACACUGCCAAUUGGCAUUUUCUGCAAUAAGACCAAACACCCUACAUGUCUUUCCUCAUGGCUACUAACAACCGUACGUUGAGAGAGAGAGAGAGAGAGCACAUAUUGCAUGUGAUGCGUGGAUAAACAAGAACCAGAGAAAUUCAGAUAAGUGGAAAUGGCGUGUAUAGAAGCAGAAAAAAUGAUCACUCAAAGCUCAGGAUAAAGAAAACGAUGUAAAAAUAACAAUAAUACAAGAACUUUCUUGCACCACUAAUCAUUCCUCAGUUCACUCGCUUUCCCCUGUUAUAUAUGGCUUUCAUAAUUUUUCGUUGUCGGUGAAUCUAUAUUGCUUUCAUUUCAUUGUCUUGUCUCGCGUACAACUCUAGAACUGCGUGUUCUAAAAGUUUUGCACUUCAUUUUGUUUUCUGGGUUUGCUUCAUUUUUUUUUUUUGGGUCUUAAUUGUUUUGAUAAGCAGGAAGGGCACGAAGUGUGAGUUUUUCGGUUAGAGUGAUUUAGGCGGAACAUUCUAAGCGUGCUUGUUUCCUUUGCUGAUAUUUCAAGCCGAGUUCCCCAAGUUUUUCUUCUAUCGCUUCUCUGUACUUCAAAUUUGCUUAAUAGGUGAAUCUUGAAAAGGGUCUAAAAUUUGCAUAUUUUCAGUGUUGUGAUUCUCAAGUUACAGUGUUUCAGCCUUAGUGAAUCACCUGGUGUAUUUGGCAGUUGCAACUCUUUUCAAGUGUUAGAAGACAUUACUGCUUGCUUAGCAUCUGAAAAAAGUAUCAAGUGGUUCCAUGAUUAUAAAUUAGGGGUGAAAAUUUUAUGGUUCUUUAAUAUUCUGCUCAUUCUGUUAAUUUGAAGCCCUCUUAAAGGGCUCGAAAAGUUUCCUAAGUUUCUUUAUAGUUGCUCUUGUUUGAUAUUUGAAACUUGGAAGUAGUUCUAAGUUGCUCUUCUGGAAACUUAUAAAAGUAGUAAGCUUUCUGCCAUUGCUUAUAUAGGCCAUGGCAUCAGUUUCUUCUUUCCGGGUAUCGCCUUAUUUUUUGACAAAUUCAGAAAUUAAGGGUGGGUUUCGAGUGAGAAUUCAGAGUUUAGGUAGUAGAGAUUCGACAGUGCUGUCAUCUGAUUCAAUUGUACUGAAUGGAACUUCUUUCACUAAACAGAAAGAGAAUAAUGGAUUUAUUGAUGGAGUUACUAGAGUGGAAGAGGAAAAGGCUUUGAUUAAUGGAGAAAAUGGGAGAUUGAAGUCUAUAGUACAGAAAAAGCAGAUGAAAGAUGUUUCAAAAGAUUUGGAAUUGUUGUGGGAUGAUGGAUAUGGUACCAAGACUGUGAAGGAUUAUCUUGAUGUAGCCAAGGAGAUUAUUAGGCCUGAUGGAGGACCGCCUCGGUGGUUUUGUCCCCUUGAGUGUGGGAAGCCUCGAAAAAAUUCGCCAACUCUUCUGUUUUUACCAGGGAUGGAUGGUGUUGGCUUGGGACUUACUUUGCACCAUAAAGCUGUUGGGAAGGCGUUUGAAGUUUGGUGCCUUCAUAUUCCAGUGUACGACAGAACACCAUUUGAAGGACUAGUGAAAUUUGUUGAAGAAACAGUGAGGAUUCAGCAUGCUGCAUCACCAAAUAGACCAAUUUAUCUAGUGGGAGAUUCCUUUGGAGGAUGUCUAGCACUCGCUGUUGCUGCACGUAAUCCUAAAAUUGACCUUGUCCUGAUACUAGCCAAUCCAGCUACAUCAUUUGGCAGGUCACAAUUACAGCCCCUCCUUCCUGUCUUGGAGGCUUUGCCUAAUGGAUUACAUAAUGCAGUCCCCUAUCUUCUUAGCUUUGUUAUGGGUGAUCCACUGAAGAUGGCAAUGGUUGAUAUCGAAUAUAGGCUUCCUCCCAAAUCAAAAAUUGAACAACUGUCCAGCAAUCUCACUACUUUGCUACCUCUUCUUUCUGGUUUGGCUGAUAUCAUUCCAAGGGAAACUCUCCUUUGGAAGUUGAAACUGCUUAAUUCAGCUGCUGCUUAUGCCAAUUCCCGUCUUCAUGCUGUAAAAGCUGAAGUGCUAGUGCUUGCUAGUGGCAAGGAUUAUAUGCUUCCCAGUGUUGAUGAAGCUAAUCGUCUUAAAAGUUCACUACAGAAUUGCAUAGUUCGUCUUUUCAAAGACAAUGGGCAUACAAUUUUACUGGAGGAUGGAAUUAAUCUCCUCACUAUCAUUAAAGGUACUGGUAAAUAUCGUUGUUCAAGGAGGCUCGAUUAUGUCUCAGAUUUUGUGCCCCCUAGCAUGUCAGAAUUCAAAUAUGGCUUUGACGAAGUGGUUGGAUUAUUACGCUUUGUUACUGGUGCUGCUAUGUUCUCAACUCUUGAUGAUGGACGGAUAGUGAGAGGUCUUGCUGGGAUUCCAAAGGAAGGUCCUGUCUUGUUAGUUGGUUACCACAUGUUGAUGGGACUUGAACUUUAUCCCCUCGUAGAAGCAUUCUUGAGAGAGAACAUUGCCUUGCGUGGUCUAGCACAUCCAGUACUCUUUAAUGGGACGUUGGAAAGUUCAUCUACCGAGUUUUCUCUACAAGAUUGGAUGAAAGUAAUGGGUGCUGUACCUGCUACAGCGAGUAAUAUUUUCAGAUUGCUUUCAACAAAAUCACAUGUGCUUCUUUAUCCUGGAGGUGCACGAGAGGCUUUGCAUUACAAGGGUGAAGAGUAUAAGUUAUUUUGGCCUAAUCAACAAGAGUUUGUGAGAAUGGCUGCAAGGUUUGGGGCCACAAUUGUACCAUUUGGGAGUGUAGGAGAAGAUGAUAUAGCAGAAUUGGUUCUUGACUACAACGACAUCAGGAAAAUCCCUUUUGUUAAUGACUUUGUUGGAGAGAGGAGUCGCAGUGCUGUGAGAAUUAGGGAUGAGAUCCAAGGUGAGGUUGCCAACCAAGAAAUGUUUAUUCCAGGGCUUUUGCCUAAGGUACCUGGCCGAUUUUAUUUUCUGUUCGGAAAGCCCAUUGAAACGAAGGGGAAGGAAGAGCUUCUGAAAGACAGAGAUUAUGCAAAUGAGUUGUACUUGCAGGUCUUUGAGGCAGAACGUAGUAUUGUGCUUUCUUUCCAGGGAAACAACAUAGAAUAUGGCAUCUGCGAUCAAUUGUCAACUCUGAUGGUUUUGGUGUAGAGUUUUCAUUCCUUUUUCUUUUGGUUGGUUCCAAGGAGAAAUCAAUAAAGGGGAAACAAGGUUCACACUUCUAACCAUCUAUAUCUAUAUAAUAUCAUAAAGCUAAGCUGCGAAUAAGGAAUACUGAAAGGUUGCCAAAUGGUACUCUUUUGAGACAGCGUGAGAGUUUACUUUUCUUACAUAUGGUUUGACCAACAAAGAAAAAAAUACAGAGGUUUGGCAAAAAGCACAGAUAUGGUGAGUUCAAUUUUGCAGCCAGGCAUUAACAGAUGAUAAUUAUACAACCAUUGAAAGUGGGGAGGCUGCAAGAAGUAUUAUGGGACAGCAGUGUGAAAUCAAUAUCCAGAUAAAAUGGUUUUGUCUAUGAGCUAUUUGCCUGGUUCAGCAAAUGUAUCCUCAUAUGAUAUUAAAAAGUUCCUCCUUUUUUCCCCUACUCAUGAAUGGAUUUAGUAGAAAUAUCUGGCGUCCAACUAAUUAAAUAAGCUUUCUGAUAUUACUGCUUAAAUAAGCUUUCUUUGUAAGCAAUUCCCUGAGUUUAAUGGAGAAUUCCUACUUAAUAA